UACAGAGGGUGCGAGCGUUAAUCGGAAUUACUGGGCGUAAAGCGCACGUAGAUGGCUUUGUAAGUCAGAUGUGAAAUCCCCGGGCUCAACCUGGGAACUGCAUUUGAAACUGCAUUGCUCGAAUGUGGAAGAGGGAAGCGGAAUUCCAGGUGUAGCGGUGAAAUGCGUAGAUAUCGGGAGGAACACCUGAGGCGAAGGCGGGCUACUGGGCCGAUACUGACGCUGAUGCGCGAAAGCCAGGGGAGCGAACGGG
rnacentral:rRNA from 1 species